rnacentral:rRNA from 1 species
ACGUUCCCUASCUGGCUUGAAAGGAUUAUCAGCCUGACUGGAACUGAGACCUGGUCCGGAUUCUAACGGGAGGCAUCASUGGGGAAUAUUGCACAUUGGGCGCAAGCCUGAUGCAGCCAUGCUGGCUGUGUGUAGAAGGCCUUCGGGUUGUAAAGCACUUUCAGUCGUGAGGAAGUGUGCCGURUAGUUCCUGYCUCAAUUUUCUGACGUGAGCGACUCAAKAGAGNCAGGCUACUYYCGUGCCAGCARCCGCGGUAAUACSKAGGGUGCGAGCGUUAAUCGGAAUUACUGGCCGUAAAGCGCAUGCAGGUGGUUUGUUAAGUCAGAUGUGAAAGCCCGGGGCUCAACCUCGGAAUAGCAUUUGAAACUGGCAGACUAGAGUACUGUAGAGGGGGGUAGAAUUUCAGGUGUAGCGGUGAANNNNAUGCGUAGAGAUCYGAAGGAAUACCGGUGGCGAWGGGCGGCCCCCGCUUGGACAGAUACUGACACUCAGAUGCGAAAGCGUGGGGAGCAAACAGGAUUAGAUACCCUGGUNAGUCCACGCCGUAAACGAUGUCUACUUGGAGGUUGUGGCCUGAGCCGUGGCUUUCGGAGCUAACGCGUUAAGUAGACCGCCUGGGGAGUACGGUCGCAAGAUUAAAACUCAAAUGAAUUGACGGGGGCCCGCACWAGCGGUGGAGCAUGUGGUUUAAUUCGAUGCAACGCGAAGAACCUUACCUACUCUUGACAUCCAGAGAACUUUCCAGAGAUGGAUUGGUGCC